rnacentral:rRNA from 1 species
UACGGAGGAUGCAAGCGUUAUCCGGAAUGAUUGGGCGUAAAGCGUCCGCAGGUGGCUGUGUAAGUCUGCUGUCAAAGAGCGAAGCUCAACUUCGUAAAGGCAGUGGAAACUACACGGCUAGAGUGCGUUCGGGGCAGAGGGAAUUCCAGGUGUAGCGGUGAAAUGCGUAGAUAUCUGGAGGAACACCGGUGGCGAAGGCGACGUCCUGGACCGGCAUUGACGCUGAGGCGCGAAAGCCAGGGGAGCAAACAGG